UUUGUACUCCCUGUCCCAUAUUAAGUGACUUUCUAUUACAUGUAUCUAGACGCAUUUUAGUAUGUAGAUACGUCCAUAUUUAGACAAAUUUGAGUCACUUAAUAUGGGACGGAGGGAGUAAUAU
rfam:Brachypodium distachyon strain Bd21 chromosome 4, whole genome shotgun sequence.